UAGCCAGCAGGUGCUUGAUUGCGGCAGCCAUUUUAAAUGCUGGCUGCCUAUAUAAACACAGCAGUUUGCUGCUGGCAGCCCAAGCAGAAACAUUGCCUGGCUGAAAGGCUGUAUGAAACAUCUCACAGGUGCCUCUGGGAUUUGUAGUCCACAGUUGGAGCCAUGAGUAAGUUUGAGGCAGCUCACUGCAAUACGGUGAAGGGAGCUCAGGGGGCUAGAUCCAAAGGCUCUGAAGGCUGGAUCUGGCCUGCUAUCUGUAAGUUGUCAUGUCCUGAGUAGCUGCAUUUUAUAUGGACCAGAAGGGACAAUAUGCUUGUUCAGGGUGAAGCUGGGAAAAAGAGCAAAAGGAGAUUAUGAGAGCUCUAACUGUGGGGGUGAAAAGAAAAAAGAUCUUUAAAAUGUUGUGGGAAAGAAAUGGUAAAUAAAAGGUUAACUGCAUAUAGCGGUGAACAGACCUCUACUGUUCAAACCAUAGAAUGACAGUAAAUUCUUUGUUUUAGGAAUAUGGAAAUCAGGUGUUAUGCUUAAUUUACUCAAUUUGGGGGAUAUACAAGGUUCUAUCUGCACUACAAAUACAGCUAAGUUAUAGGAUCAGGUUAUAACAUGGACAAGGCUUUAACCAGAGCAGAAUGUCCCUAAAAUUAUGCAACAGGAAAUAGCAAUUCGAAGUCAACAUGCCAGUAGACAGCAAAACAGAUCAACUGCAAAUGAAGACGUACCUCAAAAGCAAAACCUGUCCAAGAUGAAUGGGACAUUUGUUUUGUGUGACCGUCAUAAUCCGACUGGUGUCCAGAAGUCUGAGAUUAUUAUAACAAUGACACAGCAGUGGAUUGAAUUUCCUCAAUGACAAAUGAAAGCAGGAGAGAAUGGAAAUAAGUGUACUCAAUGUCAAUUCGAGUGAGUAACAGUGUUACACAGUAUAAUAAAUGCUGGCAUUCUCUGCAUUCCACGUUUUAUUUUUAACCAUAGAGGAUACUUAGUUCUUAACAUUUGUGGUUGACGGAAUAGAUUCACACAAUAUACAUGAAACCCAAAGUAGAUGGGAAUUGAGUCACAAAGGAAGAUUUUAUUUGCAGAUGUGAUGGUAAGGGAAGAUUGAAGAUGGCAGUAUACACCAGACGUUGUAAGUCUGUUAAACUGUUUACUGAAUUUAGUAUGUAUGAACUGAGGAAAAUGAUCUGGAUAAUUAUGCUUUGUGGUAGAUAUGGAUAUCACUAUAAAAGGAACAUUGCUGAGGCUAGAAAUUUCA